GCGGGUAUGGCGGAAUUGGCAGACGCACUAGAUUCAGGUUCUAGCGAGAAAUCGUGCAGGUUCGAGUCCUGUUACCCGCACCA
rnacentral:tRNA from 1 species